CUCAAUAUCUCCACAAAACACAAAGGACACACAACUGCUUGCCAUUGUCGUCGUUUCUUCUAGAAAAAGAGAUAUGGAUCCCUCCCAAAGUGUGACUUAACACACCUAUGGCAUCAUGUGCGACAUCACAGCCACUGCUGGAGGCUAAUCUCCAACCACUGGGAUCUGAUUUUCAGCAGUAUUGACAGUUCAAGAAUCAAUCUGUGCCAGCUUCCUCUACUGAACCUGAUGCCGCUCUCAUACUACGCAUGUGACUGAGCUGUACGACUCAGUUUCCCUGUGCUGUGUGCCUGCUUCUGAGAGGCUGAUCCGUUCAACAGCAGGCGAUGAGGAGGUUGAAGCUGUCUAAACAUGUGGAGCCAUACUGCAGGUAAUUCAUUGGUCAAGUCAAUAAAUGAACUUUAUCUUUACAUCUAUGAGUGUACUUAACUGUGGAGUAGCUGUUGUUUGUGCUAUUAGACCAUACAUAGAGUGCAUAUUUGGCCAUUAGUUAACACUUCAUAGAGUCUGUUUUGAUAGGGUGUUGUUAAGACUUGUGGGACUCCUCUUGGUCCAGUCGCAGUACUUUUGUCCUGGAUGCUGUAAAAACACUUGCUGUGGUUUGGUAAAUUAACAGAGAGCCCCCUAAUGGAGUAAUUACACAGAGCCAAACAUCUAUUUUUCACCUGUGCUCUGCCAUUACUCUCCGUCCCCCAUCCACUCCAUUGGAAGUCACUUACUCUCCUUACAGUGAGUUAUCAUUGACUGCCAUUUAGGCGUUCUGGAGCAAUUUGUCUUACUGAGGCUGUGGGCCGGCCUCAUUGCAGUGAACAAUCAUUCUCCACCAAUAUAUAAAACAUUCAUAGGGAAAAAAGGAGAAAGAAUACAGCACAAACAGAUAGUGGAGAGUGGCUAAUAGAUACUAGGAAAGAGACAGACAAGAAAAAUAAUGUAGUUGAUUAACGGGAGAGGUAAAUGCCGGUACCUUGGCGGUACAAAUGUAUAGAGGCUCUGCCAUAGGACAAAUCUGCCUUCUGGGAACUCCAGCUCUAUCCGUGAAAUGUGGGGGCUACGGUUGUUGAAUUUAAUAUAAAUAAACACUUGAUACUACAUAGCUACUUUUCUAAUCAUAAAUCACACAUCAGAAUAUAUAUAUUGUAAAAAUAUAUACACUCAUUUACUCUCAUUUUAAUAUAGUUGUACUCUCUUUUGAGAUAGUCACUGAACAUUUUUCAUGAGACUGUAGUAAGGUUUUUGACAAGAUAUAGACAAGGUUUCAGUAAUCCAGACUUCUUAUAUAAUGGAUGUACUAUUCUAGCCUCUGACAGAUGUAGUGUCUGUUUUCAUUUCUUCUUGACACUUAUUUUAUCGAGUAAAGAUAUUGAUUGGCUCAAGGGUCCACUCCUCUAGUUUUCCAUGUCUAGAUCAGUUGUCGACUUAAAGGUAAGGAGGGGAAGUUGCGGACACCAUGGUCCUGAGAGCACUGGAGAAGGGCUCACUUUGAAUCAAGCAGAUAGGACCUGUGUCUACCGUGUUGUACAGUAGUAGUCACAAUAGUACAAGCGGUAUCAUGAUGUGGGUAGGAAUAGGCUAUUUCUCACAUACUGUAUGAAUGGAUAUUGGCUUUCUUUUAAAACACAGACCAUUAAGUUACAUGCUAUUUACAUUUUACAUUUAAGUCAUUUAGCAGACGCUCUUAUCCAGAGCGACUUACAAAUUGGUAUUGAUAGCUUUGCUUUGUAAAUGCCUCUGUUAGUUUAGCUUAGUAACGAAGCAUUAUUGCUAAAAUUAUAGACACACAGUGUGCUUUUUGUGGAUUGUAAAACAUACUGUAUAACUUCUUGAAUAUCUUUUUUUUUUUUGAAAGUGUGUAUUGUGGUUAUUCAAGCAGCAUACUGUACUAUUCACUGUCUUUGUUGUGGAGGGGAGUCUGAAAUUCAAUCCAGACCAUCAAUUUUACCUUGGACCUGAACGGUAAGAAUUAUUACCUGCCUGAGAAAUCAAUCAACUUAAGACUUCCCAUCAUGUUACUUAGCUUCUUGCCACAUAAGUUGAACUAACUAUAAGCUAACAAUCAGACUCAACAUUCAACACAAUAUGUUCUGAGAACGUCUCCGGAAAGUUAUAGCCUAAACGUUUGACAUGGUAGGCAAGAGAUGUCGCAGCUUUAUGCAUAGCCUGUCUGACAUGUGUAUCCCAGUCAACCUGGCUGCAUUCCCCUGAAGGGUUAGUACAUUUACAUUACAUUUAAGUCAUUUAGCAGACGCUCUUAUCCAGAGCGACUUGUGCUUAACUGUUUUGUUAGAUUACUCACUCUCACGGCUUAACACAAUGACAAAUAACCAUUCUUUUUUUCUUGCAGUGAUAAUCCGGACAAUUUAAACAUUUCUUACAAGCAGAAGUGAAACCAUUAAUCCUGUGAGAUUCUUCUGAUAAGUGGUAACUGUGAAGUAAUGGCCAUGUCGCCUAGAAAAAUCAAAAAUAUGUGGACAAUUAAAACAAGAUGGACAUUAUCUGGCAAGUCCCUACUCCCCUUUUCUUUAGUAGUAUUGUAAUUGAUCUGUCCCUUUGUUACUAAACUGAAUAUUGAGUCCUGGCUUUUUGUUCAUUAUCUGUGGAUUUUAACAUGGUGCAUAUUUGUCAAGUUCGAAAAUCAUGUAAAAAAGGAAACCAGUGAUUAUUUUCUUCACAUAUACAAAUGCUGUUCUGAAGAAAAGUCAAUUCUCAUGUCACCUGCUAAAGUUUCUGGCUAUAAUGUGUUGACCUUUACAGGCACCCCUGUUGUUUAGUUAUUUGAAAGUACUUUGACAAGCUGCAGUAUAUUACAGGAGUAUAUUGUAUCUGGAAUUAAGUCCAUUCACAUUUAAUUGUCCUUAAAAACUCUGUCAAACUUUUGUUCUGGGAGUUUGCUUUGCCCUAGAAAAUCAAUGUGACAUGUUUUGGGCCGGGGGGGGGGGGGGGGGGUAAUAAUCUGGUUCCCUGACCAUAGUGAACACCCUAAUUUCUGUGGCUUGGCAAAGAGAUGUAGUGUGUUGAAUUAUGGUAAUUAAAGGUUGAAUUAUAAAAGUUUGACAUUUUCAUCCUCAAUUGUGUGAGCAAAAAGUGUAUGGAAUCAUAUAUAAACUUUUAAGUUGAUAUUUCUAAUUGCAAAGUACAUUAUAUUAAUUUCCUCCUACGUAUGACAAAAGGUGAAGUGGCAUCACAAUUAUAGUUGAAAUAUGUAGUCCUUCAAAACAUUUGAUAUUAUUUCACUCUGCUAUGUUGACUUUAACAUUAUA